UCCCUGGUGGCUCAGAGGUUAAAGCGUCUGCCUCCAAUGCCAGAGACCCAGGUUCGAUCCCUGGGUUGGGAA
rnacentral:tRNA from 1 species